rnacentral:rRNA from 1 species
UACGGAGGGAGCUAGCGUUGUUCGGAAUUACUGGGCGUAAAGCGCACGUAGGCGGCUUUGUAAGUUAGAGGUGAAAGCCCGGAGCUCAACUCCGGAACUGCCUUUAAGACUGCAUCGCUUGAAUCCAGGAGAGGUGAGUGGAAUUCCGAGUGUAGAGGUGAAAUUCGUAGAUAUUCGGAAGGAACACCAGUGGCGGAAGGCG